UCUGCCGUGGGCGUUGGAUGUUUGAGAAGUGCUGCUCCUAGUACGAGAGGACCGGAGUGGACGCACCUCUGGUGUUCCGGUUGUCACGCCAGUGGCAUUGCCGGGUAGCUAUGUGCGGACGGGAUAACCGCUGAAAGCAUCUAAGCGGGAAGCCCCCUUCAAGAUGAGACAUCCCCGAGGCCUCGAGCCUCCUGAAGGGCCCAGCGAGACCAGCUGGUUGAUAGGCCGGAUGUGGAAGCGCUGCAAGGCGUUGAGCUAACCGGUACUAAUGGCCCGUGAGGCUUGACCAU
rnacentral:rRNA from 1 species